rnacentral:rRNA from 1 species
AUUGAACGCUGGCGGCAUGCCUUACACAUGCAAGUCGAACGGUAACGGGCCUUCGGGUGCCGACGAGUGGCGAACGGGUGAGUAAUGCAUCGGAACGUACCUUUCAGUGGGGGAUAACGUAGCGAAAGUUACGCUAAUACCGCAUAUUCUGUGAGCAGGAAAGCAGGGGAUCGCAAGACCUUGCGCUGAUUGAGCGGCCGAUGUCAGAUUAGCUAGUUGGUGAGGUAAAGGCUCACCAAGGCGACGAUCUGUAGCGGGUCUGAGAGGAUGAUCCGCCACACUGGAACUGAGACACGGUCCAGACUCCUACGGGAGGCAGCAGUGGGGGAAUUUUUGGACAAUGGGGGGCAACCCUGAUCCAGCCAUGCCGCGUGAGUGAAGAAGGCC